rfam:Felis catus isolate Cinnamon breed Abyssinian chromosome B1, whole genome shotgun sequence.
GCCUGGGUGGCUUAAUCGGUUGAGUGUCCGACUUCGGCUCAGGUCGUGAUCUCGUGCUUUGUGGGUUCGAGCCCCACGUCGGGCU